GAGUCAUACAAGUUGCCAGGGAAGUAGGGAAAAGAGGGCAGUCACAGGUUUCACCCUGCUCUGAUGCAGCCUGCCAUCCUAAAGGCUGGUCUCACUCCCACCAUGCCCCUACAACAGCACUGACUCUAUUUCCAGGCAUCCGAUGACCAGGGCUGAGAACUUGCUCCAGACCAUGAGUCUCCCCUUUGAGAAAGCAAGUAGACUCACAGUUUUUCAGCAUCUCAGGGAGCCUGCAGUGGUGAUCCAGUUCCUUCAAAGGGUCUGUGGAUUCUCUCGGCUUUCCUGGGUCAAAUCAGAAACCUGAUCGAUGAAUGGCUCUGAGUGACAAUGCUAAAUAUCAGGGGGCCAGGCACGAUGGCUCACACCUGUAAUCCUGGCACUUUGUGAAGCCAAGGUAGGCGGAUCACUUGAACACAGGAGUUCAAGACCAGCCUGGGCAACAUGGUGACCCCCAUCUUUACAAAAAAAAUACAAAAAUCAUCUGGGAGUGGUGAUGUGUUCCUGUAGUCCUAGCUACUUGGGAGGCUGAGGGAGGAGAAUCACUUGAGCCUGGGAGAUGGAGGUUGCAGUGAGCUGAAAUCACACCAUUGCACUCCAAGGAGUGAAAACCUGUCUCAAAAAAAAAAAAAAAAAAAAUCUCAUGGGAGACUCUUAUUGGCCUGCUGGGAUAGGGUAGGCAGAAUUAUGACCUCCCCCACAAAGAUGUCCACACCCUAAUCCCUAGAAUGUAUGAAUAUAUUCCAUGGCAAAUGGGAAUUAACGUGGCAGAUGGAAUUAUGGUUGUUAAUCAGUUGACCUUAAAAUAGGGAGACUAUCCUAGAUUAUCUGGAUGGGCCCAAUUAAUCACAAAUGAUACAAAAUGAGAGACUCCACCCACCAUUGCUGGCUUUGAAGAUGGAAGAGGGCCCUGAGCCAAGGAAUGUGGGCAGCCUUUAGAGGCUGGAAUGGGGAAGAAAAAGGCUUUUCCUCUAGUCUCCUGAAGGGAUGCAGCCCUGCUCAAGAACAUUUAUCCCAAUAAAACUAAUUUUGGCUUCUGACCUCCAGAACUGUAAGGUAACAAUUUUGUGUUGUUUUAAGCCACUAAGUCUGAUGCUUUGUUACAGCAGCUGUAGGCAACCAAUACGUGGGGUCAGCAAUUUAAACCAGGGAAAUACUGACGUUGCUCUCCCAGAACAUUGCUGGAGCCUCAUAACUAGUCCUGCUUCCAGCCUGGCAUCGCGCCCUGCCUCUACUCUAUUCUCAGCAACGCAGCUGGAGCAAUGCCUUUGAAACAUGGGUUGGGCCACAGUGGUCCUUCAGUGGAUCCCUUCUCCCGCCUCUCCUGUACACCACUACAUUCCCAGCCCCUAGAAUGGAGCCUGAGCGUGGUGGUCCCUCAGUAUGUGCUGUUAAUGAAGGAACUGACUCUCUUAAC
rnacentral:lncRNA from 10 species